GACAUGAGGUGCAAACGUUAUCCGGAUUUAUUGGGCGUAAAGGAUGCGUAGAUGGUGGAAUAAGUUAUUGGUCAAAGUCAAGCUCAACUUGGCGGAAGCUGGUAAUACUAUUCUACUUGAGGAUAGGAGAGGUUGGCGGAAUUCUGUGUGGAGCGGUGAAAUGCGUUGAUCUACAGAGGAACACCAAAAAAAGGCGAAGGCAGCCAACUAUUCUA
rnacentral:rRNA from 1 species